CUAGAAAUGUAUCUUCUUUGUUUCGGUUUGGUUAGGUGAAAGGAGGAGGUUAACGGGUCAGAUGUUGUACCCGAUAAGAAGCCAUCAGUAGGGGUUGGGGGUUUGCUCUUGAAGG